CCUACGGGUGGCAGCAGUGAGGAAUAUUGGUCAAUGGGCGCUAGCCUGAACCAGCCAAGUAGCGUGAAGGAUGACUGCCCUAUGGGUUGUAAACUUCUUUUAUAUGGGACUAAAGUGCAGUAUGUAUACUGCUUUGCAUGUACCUUAUGAAUAAGGAUCGGCUAACUCCGUGCCAGCGGCCGCGGUAAUACGGAGGUUCCGACCGUUAUCCGGUUUUAUUGGGUUUAAAGGGAGCGUAGGCGGGUUGUUAAGUCAGUUGUGAAAGUUUGCGGCUAAACGGUUAAAUUGCAGUUGAUACUGGCAUCCUGGAGUGCAGUAGAGGUAGGAGGAAUUCGUGGUGUAGCGGUGAAAUGCUUAGAUAUCACGCAGAACUCCGAUUGCGAAGGCAGCCUGCUGGACUGUAACUGACGCUGAUGCACGAAAGUGUGGGUAUCAAACAGGAUUAGAUACCCGGGUAGUC
rnacentral:rRNA from 1 species